AUGGCGAGUUCCUCUCAGAAGUUCACGUGGUGCCCCUGCCAUAAGCACAAGAUUCCCUCCAAGGACACCCACGAUCGCUGCUUGCACUGCCUGGGCAUCCAGCAUGCAAAAGAAGCCGUGCUGGAGUACGGCAAGUGCCCGCACUGCGCUGCCAUGGACUGGAGCACCUGCAUCAAUCGCCUCACCAAAGUACAGGAGGUGCUGCACCGGGAGAGCCAGCAAAGAAAGACAGAGGCUGCCCAAGCAGGUUCUAAGCUCGCGACAGCCCCGGCUCCCGUCAGCAUUCCAAAAGCCACAAUGGACUCGGUCCCUGUCCCACCCUUACCAACCGCUUUCGCUGCAACAUCAGCACAACCCUCUGUCCUCCCUGUGAUGCUAACCAUCCUCUCCCCCCCACCUGCUCAGGCAGAAUUGAACCCCAGCAUCACAAAAGGAGCGCUUUUGACUCCAUUGGCCGUUGAACAGUCCUGCGAUCCAAACCACACUCUGGGUCAGUCCAGUUCCCACACAGUGACCCAUCGGUCUAAGAGGAGGCAUUCCUCUGCAUGUUACUCACGGUGCUCCAAGUGCUCGAAACAUAGUCACCGGCACCAGUGUAGACGCUUUCAUACCUCUUCUUCCUACUCCUCAUCCGGUUCAUCCUGCUGGAGCUCUUCGAGCUCCCCCUGCACUUCUCCUCGGGAGAAGAGGUCACAGCGAGUAUCCCAUACCUCAGCCAAGGACAGGAAGCUUCUGGAGAUGGUGCAGCAGAAGCUAGACACCCAGUGGGCCUUGAUGGAGAAGCGCGUCGAGGCCUUGGAGAGGAGGGCGGCAGAGAUGUCUUCGGUGGUCCCCGCUGCAUCCUCCUCAGACCAGGCCUCACUUUCCGCAGCCGCUCCAGCAUCCACGUCCUCUCAAGAGGAGGAGCCGGAGGUGGAGCAUGUAGAUUGGUGUGGUCCACCCGAGGAUAGGCCAGCCGUCAGGAUCCCUCUGGUUGCCAUGGUGAAGAAGGAGGAGGAGCCUUCCCUCAUAAGAGCUGGCUGGAAAGCCGAGGAAGCCAGCGAGGGGGAAGACACCUCCCUUCUGCCUGAGGACUCUGUCUCUGGACAGGACAUACUGGUUGCUGCAGAGCUCCAGGGCCUCAUUUCCCGGGCAGCCAAAUACUUGGGCAUCAGUUUCCCCAACACACAGACAAGCUCCUCCUCUCCAGGUCCCAGCAUGGUGCCAGAGUUUGAGAACUUGGUUCAGAGCACAUGGUCCAACCCCGCGAGCUCCCGGCCCUUCAGGGAGCUGUUCUGCAAGAUGUACCGGCUGAACGAACGCCAGGCCCCAGCUUACGAUCGCAUGCCUCAGGUCAGCCGCUUCAUGUCCGCCAUCUUCCAGGCCGUGGAGCCAACGGAAAACGCAAUGGUGCCCCUACCAAGCAAGCACUGGAGGUUCACCGAGACCCAAGCGGAGAGGAUGUACCAGACAGCAGGCAUGUUGGUCAGGACAGCCAACUACCUGCGGUACUUGUCUGAGUACCAGCAGCGGCUGCUGGAGGAGGCAGCCGAGGACCGGCCAGCUCAGCGACUGACAGCCAUCCUAAAAGAGCUCCGGCUCAUAAGCCGGUUCUCCUUCCAGCUGUCCUCACACCAGGCAGAGCUCUCUGGCAGGGUCAUGGCCGGGUCUGUGGCCAUCCGGCGCCAGGUCUGGAUGGCCACGACCAACUACACAGACUCCCUUAAAGCCACCGUGGCAGACCUGCCCUACGUUGUCCGCCAGACUAUGGAAGCCAGCACAGGAACUACUUCUGGUUGCAAACAGGAAGUAUCAUGA
ensembl:lncRNA